UACAGAGGGUGCGGGCGUUAAUCGGAAUUACUGGGCGUAAAGCGUGCGUAGACGGUUAUUUAAGUCGGAUGUGAAAGCCCCGGGCUCAACCUGGGAAUUGCAUUCGAGACUGAAUAGCUAGGGUACGGUAGAGGGAAGCGGAAUUUCCGGUGUAGCGGUGAAAUGCGUAGAUAUCGGAAGGAACAUCAGUGGCGAAAGCGGCUUCCUGGACCAGUACCGACGUUCAGGCACGAAAGCGUGGGGAGCAAACAGG
rnacentral:rRNA from 1 species